rnacentral:rRNA from 2 species
GUUGGUGUUGAUUACGGUGAGGGUCCACCCGUUCCCAUCCCGAACACGGAAGUUAAGCUCACUGGUGCCGACGAUACUUGGCUGGAAGCGGCCUGGAACAAUAGGGAGACGCCAACA